AGCGAACGCUGGCGGCAGGCCUAACACAUGCAAGUCGAACGAAGUCUUCGGACUUAGUGGCGGACGGGUGAGUAACACGUGGGAACGUGCCUUUAGGCUCGGAAUAACUCAGGGGAAACUUGUGCUAAUACCGAAUGUGCCCUUCGGGGGAAAGAUUUAUCGCCUUUAGAGCGGCCCGCGUCUGAUUAGCUAGUUGGUGAGGUAAAGGCUCACCAAGGCUACGAUCAGUAGCUGGUCUGAGAGGAUGACCAGCCACAUUGGGACUGAGACACGGCCCAAACUCCUACGGGAGGCAGCAGUGGGGAAUCUUGCGCAAUGGGCGAAAGCCUGACGCAGCCAUGCCGCGUGGAUGAUGAAGGUCUUAGGAUUGUAAAAUCCUUUCACCGGUGAAGAUAAUGACUGUAGCCGGAGAAGAAGCCCCGGCUAACUUCGUGCCAGCCGCCGCAGUAACAC
rnacentral:rRNA from 1 species